GGCAGGUGAAAAUAUCGAGUGGAGCAGUGAGCAGUCCAGUGGCCAAUCACAGUGAGGAAAAUGCAACCUGAUUACAAAUCAUCCAGAGGGCUGACUGUGAGCAGAAAACACAGAAUUAAUUGCAGGAAAACAAGCCUAAUUGCUCACAGGUACUGCACGUCAGUGGAAACGAGGGGCCCCGCCCAGGGGAGGAGACACCAGGAACACAGGUGCAUCAGACUUACCCAGACCAUGACACCUGCCCUCCUGCUCGGAUACUGAAGGAACAAAUGGCAGCUCUAGUAGGAUCCAACCCACACCAGGAUCGUGUUUGACUUAAGUUUUGGCUCCAGAUCAGAGCUGGUGCUCUACUCCAUCAUCUGCUCUCCUCUCUCUGGUCUGGCCAUUACUGAAAUAGGGAAGGCACGAUUAGAAGAUGCUUGCCGUCUGUGACAAACUAGCCUCCCCGACACAACACCCUGAACCUGCUGCUCCACUCCUCCCCUGCAGCUGAGCCACCAACCACACCCCGCCACAGGAAUAUUUCCCGAAGAAAUGGGCCGGUAUACCUUACUCACCUCCCACAAGACACCCAGAAGAUUGUGACUGAUUGAAAUUCAUAUUGUUCCUCUUGAACCUGAGGUUCAACUAAUAAACUGACUGUCAUCUCCAGUACCUUGGCAUAGACCUACCAAAUGGAAACUGAACUGAAUGUUAGGUUUUUACUUACUUUUAGCACGAAUUUCCAAAGCAUUCCAAAUUAGGCCAAUCUGAUUUUGGUUUUAUUAGUAUUGUGAAUUCAUAGUUAAUAUCAAGUGUAUAAACAGAAAGACUGAUCAUCAAUUCAUUUUGUCUUUUUAAAAGUCCUGCAUGUAAAACCAAAGCAGCAGCUUCCUGUUGUUUACACUUAACUUAAAGCUGAUGAGGCU